rnacentral:rRNA from 1 species
UACAGAGGUCUCAAGCGUUGUUCGGAUUUAUUGGGCGUAAAGGGCGCGUAGGCGGCGGGGUAAGUCGGGUGUGAAAUCUCAGGGCUCAACCCUGAAACUGCACUUGAUACUGCUCUGCUUGAGGACUGGAGAGGAGACUGGAAUUUACGGUGUAGCAGUGAAAUGCGUAGAUAUCGUAAGGAAGACCAGUGGCGAAGGCGGGUCUCUGGACAGUUCCUGACACUGAGACACGAAGGCCAGGGGAGCAAACGGG